CAAGGGAUGUGUGCCUCUGGAGGAAAGGUCAGGUGAGGACUCAGUGAGAAGACAAGCCAAGGAGCCAGGUCUUGGAAGAAGUCAACCCUGUUGACACCUUGAUCUUGGACUAACCCUGUGGACACCUUGAUCUUGGACUUUUAGCUUCCAGAACUGCGAGAAAAUAAAUUUUUCUUGUUUAAGCCACCCAGAGUGUAGUGUUUUGU
rnacentral:lncRNA from 1 species